UGCGAACUCCUACGGGAGGCAGCAGUGGGGAAUAUUGCACAAUGGGCGAAAGCCUGAUGCAGCGACGCCGCGUGAAGGAUGAAGGUCUUCGGAUUGUAAACUUCUAUCAGCAGGGAAGAAAGUGAGUUGAAAGACACUCACGUGACGGUACCUGACUAAGAAGCACCGGCUAACUACGUGCCAGCAGCCGCGGUAAUACGUAGGGUGCGAGCGUUAUCCGGAAUUACUGGGUGUAAAGGGUGCGUAGGCGGCUAUGUAAGUCAGAUGUGAAAACUCAGGGCUCAACCUUGAGGCUGCAUCUGAAACUGCGUAGCUAGAGUGUGGGAGAGGAAAGUGGAAUUCCGAGUGUAGCGGUGAAAUGCGUAGAGAUUCGGAGGAACACCAGUAGCGAAGGCGGCUUUCUGGACCAUAACUGACGCUGAGGCACGAAAGCGUGGGGAGCAAACAGGAUUAGAUACCCUUGUAGUCCAGAUG
rnacentral:rRNA from 1 species